AGCUGCUCUGGUUUGGAAUGGCUAGGAGGGAAAGGAGAUAAGAGUUUAGCUCCUAAAAAGGGUUUCCAAGAACUGUACAGGACUAAUGGACAAGGAUGCACGGGGAUAACUGGCCGCCUUGAGCAUUCCUAAAGCAAUGGGUGAAAGUCAAUAUUCCAGCACAAAUGGAGAUUCAUACGAUUGUUUGAUUGCUCCAAGCAAAGUUCCUUCGGAGGAAACAUCAGAAAUAACUGCAGUUGAGAAUUUAUUCCUACCCUCUCCCAUCAAGUGUGCUGUCUUGAGAUAUGCUGAUGCUGACAUACCUGGCUAUGCAGAUACUUCUGGUCCAGUGGUUUGCUUACACAGUACUUGUAAUCUACUGAAAGCCUCAUCCUCUUUCCAGUAAUGACUUUAAAUGCGGUAAAAACCUGGAGGCAAAAGAUGGAGAAAUGUUUCCAUAAUUCAGA